AUUGAACGCUGGCGGCAGGCCUAACACAUGCAAGUCGAACGGUAGCACAGAGAGCUUGCUCUCGGGUGACGAGUGGCGGACGGGUGAGUAAUGUCUGGGAAACUGCCUGAUGGAGGGGGAUAACUACUGGAAACGGUAGCUAAUACCGAAUAAUGUAGCAAGACCAGUGUGGGGGAACUUCGGGACUCUCGCCAUCGGAUGUGCCCAGAUGGGGUUAGCUUGUUGGGGAGGUAAAGGCUCUACAAGGUGAGGAGCCCUAGCUGGGCUGAGAGGAUGACCAGCCAGGCUGGAAGGGAGACACAGUCCAGACUCCUACGGGAGGCAGCAGUGGGGAAUAUUGCACAAUGGGCGCAAGCCGAAUGCAGCCAUGCCGCGUGUGUGAAGAAGGCGUUCGGGUUGUAAAGCACUUUCAGCGGGGAGGAAGUCGGUGAGUUUAAUAAGCUCACCGAUUGACGUUACCCGCAGAAGAAGCACCGGCUAACUCCGUGCCAGCAGCCGCCGUAA
rnacentral:rRNA from 1 species